rnacentral:rRNA from 1 species
CCUACGGGAGGCAGCAGUGGGGGAUAUUGCACAAUGGGGGAAACCCUGAUGCAGCGACGCCGCGUGUGGGAAGACGGUCCUCUGGAUUGUAAACCACUGUCCCCAGGGACGAAGAUGACGGUACCUGGGGAGGAAGCUCCGGCAAACUACGUGCCAGCAGCCGCGGUAAUACGUAGGGAGCGAGCGUUGUCCGGAAUUACUGGGUGUAAAGGGAGCGUAGGCGGGACUGCAAGUUGGGUGUAAAAUCAACCGGCUCAACCGGUAGCCGCACUCAAAACUGCAGUUCUUGAGGGAAGUAGAGGCAGGCGGAAUUCCUAGUGUAGCGGUGAAAUGCGUAGAUAUUAGGAGGAACAUCAGUGGCGAAGGCGGCCUGCUGGGCUUUUACUGACGCUGAGGCUCGAAAGUGUGGGGAGCAAACAGGAUUAGAUACCCCAGUAGUC